AGCUUUGUGCAGUGGCAGAAUCGUAGCCAAUGAGGUUUAUCCGAGGCGCAAUUAUUGCUAAUUGAAACAUAUUUUAUCUACUUAUUUGUCAUCACCUUUCUUAUUCUUUUUUGAUGCAAGAGUUUUAAUAGAUAUAGGAUA